rnacentral:rRNA from 1 species
UGAGGAAUAUUGCGCAAUGGACGAAAGUCUGACGGAGCGACGCCGCGUGGAUGAAGAAGGCCGCAAGGUUGUAAAAUCCUUUUGCUGGGGAAGAAUAAGUCCAGGAGGGAAUGCCUGGAUGAUGACAUGAACCGGCGAAUAAGCCCCGGCCAACUACGUGCCAGCAGCCGCGGUAACACGUAGGGGGCAAGCGUUGUUCGGAAUUACUGGGCGUAAAGGGCAUGUAGGCGGUUUAGUAAGCUUGGCGUGAAAGACCACAGCUCAACUGUGGGGUUGCGUUGAGAACUGCUGAACUUGAGUUACGGAGAGGGAGCUAGAAUUCCUGGUGUAGGGGUGGAAUCUGUAGAGAUCAGGAAGAAUACCGAUGGCGAAGGCAAGCUUCUGGCCGAUAACUGACGCUGAGGUGCGAAAGUGUGGGGAGCAAACA